rnacentral:lncRNA from 1 species
AAUAAUAAUAAUAAUAAUAAUUCUAGAAGAUUUUUUUUUUUUUUUAAAUCAGCUUUCUGGAGUCAGUUCCCAAGCAGAAUUGAGGCCAUGUGGAGCCAGGAUAUCCCCACUUCAGCUUUUCACAAACUAGAUGUCAGGAAUGGAGAAAUAAGUGUGAAAUCUGUGCCUGGAGGCAGCUGCCAGGUCUGGAGCUUGCAGAUCCCGGUUGCAGUCUGGAGAAUCAUGAAGCUAGCAGCAGUACUGGUGCUAGGUGACAGCAGGCCUGCCAGUCUUUUAUGAGGUUCAGAUCUGCUCUCACCACUCAUUCAACACAGCAAGAUGGAUAUUUUUAUAAUUGCCUGAUUGUGUGACCCAUAGAAACUUCCUUCAGAUUUUCCUCAAGGCUUAUUGUUAAGUCCUGAACCCAUCACAUGUUUCAGAAUUCAUUCAUCACUUCCUUCUAAUUGCUGAUGUGCUAAUUAUGUUGCAGACAACUAUUCCUAUUCCUUCUUCUUUUUGUCUUAGGCUUAUUUAAAAUGUGGAAUUGCAAUCAUUCCCUUUGUUUUACUACUAUCUGUACUAUAAAGCAUGUAUAAAAUAGCCAUCUCAAAAAAUUUGAUAGCUCUUCUUUUCCAACAGCUUAUUCUGCUAUAUAAAUACCUCUCUUCAUCAUCACAUCAGGUGCUUUCUGUAAACCUGAUUAAAAUACUUAAUUUGUAAGCAUUUGUUUUAUAUUGUAUACUUGAUGCAAUUUACAGUCUUAUUUUUCAGGGUUUCUUCUAGAAGCACAGAUUAAUCUGGACAAGUAUGGCACACAAAAUCUUUGUUCUUGUCAUAUUUGGAAUGAUGUUCAAUGCUUAAAAGUAAGAAAGUUGUCCACUUCCCUGCUUGUUUGUAGCUACAGCCUUUUGUAAUACUUGCCCAAGAAGACAGAAUUUGGCCUUUGCUUUGCCACACUGUGUUCUUCUGUGAACUUCCAGUCUGUGUGCUUUGUUUUUCAAAUAUCUUCUCUCCUAGCAAACUAUGACCUCUUUGAACAUCUAAGUGAUGUUUUAAAGAAAACAUAAAAGCAUUGCUUGGUAACAACACUGUUUAUUUAAAUUCUGGAAGACACUUUUUUUUCUCUUUUAUUUCAGUUAGGUAAUGUCUGAGAUUGUAACAUGGUGUUACAUGUUACAAUCUGAGAAAAGUUUUUGGAGCUUCUCUGAACAAGUACUGUGUCUGAAGUAAAUGAAGAUUUAAGAAAAAAAAAAAAAAAGCUCUGAAUGCCUUCACAUAAGAGGGAAAAAAAGUCUUUUAA